GGAUGAUUCACAGGUUGGGACUUUGUAUGGAAAGAGAGGUGGCACAUGAGAAGGAGGAGCAGGUUGGCUCUGGAUUACUCACAGGUUGGGAAUUCAUACGGAGAAAAAGAGGAAGCAUACGAGAGGGAGGAGUGUUGCCAUUGACCACGAAAUUGAAGAAGAGACAGCUACAGUUACAGG